UACGUAGGGUGCAAGCGUUGUCCGGAAUCAUUGGGCGUAAAGCGCGCGUAGGUGGUCAUGUAAGUCCGCUGUGAAAGUCAAAGGCUCAACCUUUGAAAGCCGGUGGAUACUGCAUGACUAGAGUACGGAAGAGGCGAGUGGAAUUCCCGGUGUAGCGGUGAAAUGCGCAGAUAUCGGGAGGAACACCUAUGGCGAAGGCAGCUCGCUGGGACGUUACUGACGCUGAGACGCGAAAGCGUGGGGAGCAAACAGG
rnacentral:rRNA from 1 species